CUUGGUGUGUUCCAUGCCCAAAUGUGUCUGAUACCAGUUAUGUACAGGAAAUGAUAAUGGAACCCGUGUCCUAUACUGAAUUUGGCUGGAAUGGAGAGGACAACUACACACCAGAAGAGCCCAAGGAAAAGUGCAAUAGACUCCACUUUCAGAAUAAAAGAGAUGUCUUGGAAAGAGAGAAGGAACGUGCUUAAAAGGCACAUGGUAACAUGAAGACAGGCAGAAGCCGUUCAUGAUUUUACUCUGGAAGUACACUGCAUUCCAGAGCGAUGUCUGUUUCUCUUCAGUGAUUUCAAGAGUUACAGAGACCAAGAAACCUGAAAAUAUACUUGAGCUGUGAUGUUAUUAUGUAGCCUCUGUACUGCCCAGGUGAGACUACUGAGAAGUUGCAUCCUACCACAGUGUUUAUCCAUCUGGGUUCUUUACUGGUGUUAAUUGAUUUGCAA